rnacentral:rRNA from 1 species
GACGAACGCUGGCGGCGUGCUUAACACAUGCAAGUCGAACGGUAAGGCCCUUCGGGGUACACGAGUGGCGAACGGGUGAGUAACACGUGGGUGAUCUGCCCUGCACUUCGGGAUAAGCCUGGGAAACUGGGUCUAAUACCGGAUAGGACUCCGGACUGCAUGGUCUGGGGUGGAAAGCUUUUGCGGUGUGGGCGGGGCCCGCGGCCUCUCAGAUUGUUGGGGGGGUGAUGGCCUACCAAGGCGCCGACGGGUAGCCGGCCUGAGAGGGUGGCCGGCGACUCUGGGACUGAGCUACGGCCCAGACUCCGACGGGAGGCAGCAGUGGGGAAUAUUGCACAAUGGGCGCAAGCCUGAUGCAGCGACGCCGCGUGAGGGAUGACGGCCUUCGGGUUGUAAACCUCUUUCAGCAUCGACGAAGCGAAAGUGACGGUAGGUGCAGAAGAAGGACCGGCCAACUACGUGCCAGCAGCCGCAGUAA